rnacentral:misc_RNA from 1 species
AGCAUUUCCACCUUAGCUGAACUUGCUGGUCAUUGCACUGCAAGAGAACCUGGUCAACGGCCAGAUAUGGGCCACGCUGUAAACGUGCUGUCCCCACUUGUUGAGAAAUGGAAGCCUCUUGAGGAUGAUCCAGAGGACUAUUGUGGUAUCGACUACAGUCUUCCCCUCAAUCAAAUGGUCAAGGGUUGGCAAGAAUCGGAAGGAAAAGACUUAAGUUACGUGGAUCUCGAGGACAGUAAGGGCAGUAUCCCAGCAAGACCAACUGGAUUUGCAGAUUCAUUUACAUCAGCUGAUGGUAGAUAAUGGAGGUACUUCUAUGUAGUAGAUGUAGAUAUCAAUUUUCUUUGUAUUGUAUUGAGAUUUUGAUCGUAUUUUCCACGUGCCUUCGCUCAUUUCUCCCCCUUCAAUGUGAAUGUAUUAGAAAUUUAAACUAUGUGUAGCCUCAGUUCCUUCUGUAGAUAU